rnacentral:rRNA from 1 species
ACGCUCGACACCUACGGUAGGCAGCAGUAGGGAAUCUUCCACAAUGGACGCAAGUCUGAUGGAGCAACGCCGCGUGAGUGAAGAAGGUCUUCGGAUCGUAAAACUCUGUUGUUAGAGAAGAACACGAGUGAGAGUAACUGUUCAUUCGAUGACGGUAUCUAACCAGCAAGUCACGGCUAACUACGUGCCAACAGCCGCCGGUAAGUACUGAGCGGGCGUGGCGAAGGACG